AUGCCGGUCACUGAUGCAUCACCGUAAUCUUGCAGAUAUAAAACAUAAGUUAUCCAGCACCGGGUUCGUUAUUCACUCUAUGCCCAUCAGUUCUAUCAGAUAUAAAAUAUAAGAUAUAAGUUAUCCAGCACCGGGUUUGUUAUUCACUCUUUGCCCAUCAGUUCUAUCAGAUAUAAAAUAUGAGAUAUAAGGUAUCCAGCACCGGGUUUGUUAUUCACUCUUUGCCCACCAGUUAUAUCAGAUAUAAAAUAUAAGAUAUAAGUUAUCCAGCACCGGGUUGGUUACUCUAUGCACAUCAAUUCUAUCUGACAUAAAAUAAUACUUAUCCA